GGCGAAAGGUGUGAUCAGGAUGGUCGCUGCUCACUCGAGCCAGCAGAUCUACACUCGUGCCACCAACACCUAAACAGAUUGACUUUGUCAAUGGUUUGGUUCUCCAGUCUCAUCUCAGUUUUUGCUUUUUGCUGUAUACAUUAAUCUUCAGAGCUCUUUUUUAUUUGGUUUUUCUUGACUCCUUUGUAUUCGAGAAACUCUUUUUUGGGAUUAUAUGUCUACUUAAUUCAGAAUCAUUUUCUAUUUUUGCUCUCAGUAGUCUAUCAUAAUUUCAUUCAGAUAUCCAAGUCAGUUUUUUGUUCUUUUAUUUGUUUUCUCAAUAUUGCUCGUAAGAAAUACAAGUAUCGAAACUACCUUAUUCGAAGUUUUAUUUUUAAAAUAGUUUCACUAAUUGUCAUGUUUAUGGAGUUUUAUUUCUUUGCAAAAGAAAAAGUCACUUUUGAGUCAUACCCAUGGUUCUUAAUUAUUAGACCAGCCAUUAGUACUCUCAACUCAUCCAAUAAAACAAAGAAAACCUAUAACAUCAAUCAAAACUUCACUCAAUAAUGGUUUACAAAAACGUCACUAUCAACACAUGAAAUCAGCUUUUCUUUUUCUUUGACAUGAAAGCAGUUUUAGAUAUUUGUUGCUUGUUCCCUUCUACAAAACUUAUCUAGCGAUUUUGUAAUAAUACUAUUGGUAUAUCACUAUUUGAGCCAAAGCUAGUUAAUGUAUGCGUAAGAUGUAGAUGUAAAACGAGUUAACCAUUGAGCAUUUUUAGUGUGCGCUUUCUUAAUCUAAUCUAUUAUCGAUAUAAUUUUUCUGAUACAAGAAAUGCAAAAUUACCGUGAACAGAAAAUAGAGGUUCAGUUUGGGUUUAGAUUCUACCAAAUAUCUUAGUGAAUCAUAUAUCUUUAGAACCAAAGAAUUGGAACCGAACCGAAUUCGAACAGAACUUAAAACUGAAUGGAUACCCAAAUUUCUAUAAUAUAAUUUAUAUAUUUAUAAAUAUUAAGUAUAUUUUGUUUUAAAAUAAUUAAAUAAUUUUAAAAUAUUACUUAUAAAAAAUACCUAAAAACAUAAUUACCAGAAUAUUGUUUUAUCCAAAAUGUUUAAAAUUAUGUGAAUUAUCCAAAUUUUUAUUCGAAAACCAAAAAAAUUAUAUUUAAUCUGAAAAACUCAUAUUUUCUUGCUUUUAACCCAAAUUCACCGAAAAACCAAAACCGAACCGGAACCCAAUGGCAUCCAAAAUUAUUUUGGACAAUCUAUGGUUCCUAACUUUGAUAUCCAAACCGAGAACCAAAAAAACCAAACCGGAAACAAACUAAAUUUUCUAUAUACCCGAACAAAACCUAAACCUCUAGAACGAAAGAACUUAAAAAAAUACUACACUGGAACCGAAACUAAGAAUCGAUGCUCAUGGCUACAAGAAAUUGUGAAAAAUGAAACUCUUUAUCAAAAAAAAAAAAUAUGUAAACAAUCCAUUAAUUAUUUACAAAGGUUUUUUUUGAAAAAAAGUUUACAAAUGUUAUUGACAGAAAGGCAAUUCUAAGUCGUACAUAUUUAUGUUAAUCCUUAACCCUUAUAUAUCAAUUAGUAACCUUUGAUACUAUUUCAUAUUAUAUGAUGUUUUGCUUCAUUGCACAUAUAUUAAAAAAUUUACGUUUUCUAAAAAAAUAAAAAUAAAAUAAUUUAAUUAUAAAUAGAAAUAGUUAAAAUAUAAUUAGUUACAUAGUUUUGAUAAAUCUAAAGUUAUAUAGAUUUAUGAAACAUCUUAUAUUGUGGAUCAACAAAAAGAACUUCUAAAACAUUGUAUUUAUAUAACCUUUAUUUUUUUUUGUAAAUAUUGCAUAUACUAAAUUAAAGAAAAAUUGCGUUUAGUAUAAUUAAAAAGCAUUAACAUCGUAGAGAAAAAGUAAUUCUUACGAGCGAUAUGUGACCACAAUGUGUGCAGAUGAAUAUGGGGUCUCGGCCCACAUUGAUCAGACAACAGGUUCCAUGUGUACUUGUAGCACUAGAGUGAGAGUAUGGGAGAAACGAGAGCCGUCAAUUUGGCGUUACAAUCACAUGCCUCCCUGUAAAUAUUUAUCUUCCUUUUAUUUCUUGAAUAUAACUUUAUUUCAAUUCAACAUUUUUUUUUUCAAACUAACAAUUGGUUUACUGCAUAUAUAUAAAUUACG
rnacentral:lncRNA from 1 species